rnacentral:rRNA from 1 species
CGGGACUUUUCGGAGUUCAGUGGCGGACGGGUGAGUAACGCGUGAGAAUCUGGCCUCAGGUUCGGGACAACCACUGGAAACGGUGGCUAAUACCGAAUGUGCCGAAAGGUGAAAGAUUAAUUGCCUGAGGAUGAGCUCGCGUCUGAUUAGCUAGUUGGUGGGGUAAAGGCUCACCAAGGCGUCGAUCAGUAGCUGGUCUGAGAGGAUGAGCAGCCACACUGGGACUGAGACACGGCCCAGACUCCUACGGGAGGCAGCAGUGGGGAAUUUUCCGCAAUGGGCGAAAGCCUGACGGAGCAAUACCGCGUGGGGGAGGAAGGUUCUUGGAUUGUAAACCCCUUUUCUCAGGGAAGAAAAAAAUGACGGUACCUGAGGAAUCAGCAUCGGCUAACUCCGUGCCAGCAGCCGCGGUAAUACGGAGGAUGCAAGCGUUAUCCGGAAUGAUUGGGCGUAAAGCGUCCGCAGGUGGCAGUUCAAGUCUGCUGUUAAAGACUGGGGCUUAACCCUGGAAAGGCAGUGGAAACUGAACAGCUAGAGUGCGGUAGGGGCAGAGGGAAUUCCUGGUGUAGCGGUGAAAUGCGUAGAGAUCAGGAAGAACACCGGUGGCGAAGGCGCUCUGCUAGGCCGCAACUGACACUCAGGGACGAAAGCUAGGGGAGCGAUGG